rnacentral:tRNA from 1 species
GGUAGGGUGGCCGAGCGGUCCAAGGCGCUGGUUUUAGGCACCAGUCUCUUCGGAGGCGCGGGUUCAAAUCCCGUCCCUGCCA